rnacentral:rRNA from 1 species
AAUGAACGCUGGCGGCAGGCCUAACACAUGCAAGUCGAACGGAUCCUUCGGGAUUAGUGGCGGACGGGUGAGUAACGCGUGGGAACAUACCCUUUGGUACGGAAUAGCCUCGGGAAACUGGGAGUAAUACCGUAUGUGGUCGAGAGACGAAAGAUUAUCGCCAAAGGAUUGGCCCGCGUUGGAUUAGGUAGUUGGUGGGGUAAUGGCCUACCAAGCCGACGAUCCAUAGCUGGUUUGAGAGGAUGAUCAGCCACACUGGGACUGAGACACGGCCCAGACUCCUACGGGAGGCAGCAGUGGGGAAUCUUAGACAAGGGGGGAAACCCUGAUCUAGCCAUGCCGCGUGAUCGAUGAAGGCCUUAGGGUUGUAAAGAUCUUUCAGGUGGGAAGAUAAUGACUGUACCACCAGAAGAAGCCCCGGCUAACUCCGUGCCAGCCGCCGCCGCAG